rnacentral:rRNA from 1 species
UACGUAGGGUGCGAGCGUUGUCCGGAAUUAUUGGGCGUAAAGAGCUCGUAGGCGGUGUGUCACGUCGGCCGUGAAAACCUGCAGCUUAACUGUGGGCGUGCGGUCGAUACGGGCAGACUAGAGUUCGGUAGGGGAGACUGGAAUUCCUGGUGUAGCGGUGAAAUGCGCAGAUAUCAGGAGGAAACACCCGGGUGGCGAAAGGGC